UCUUUCUGUCUUGUGUUCUUUUAGUCUAACUCAUGUUUUGUGUCUCUCUCUGAAGGGGUUUAUUGGCCUGCCAGGGUCCAAGGGCAUCCAAGGAGAGCGGGGCUGCCGGGGUCCCAGUGGAGCCAAAGGAGACCUGGGAGCCAAAGGAGGCAAGGGUCUGAGUGGAGCACCAGGAGCUGCGGGUCCCCCAGGGCUGAGGGGUCAGAUGGGUUCAUUGGGCUUCCCAGGACCCCGCGGGGCAGCAGGACCACGAGGACCUGAGGUGAGGCUGAGGGUGGGCAGGCAGCCUGGGAGGGGUGAAGAGAGCAUGGGCAGCUCUGCCAGCCACAUCCUUCCUCUUCUUUCUGUGGGAUGAAGGCUCUGGGAUCUCUCAUUUGUCACCUGGAGUGAUUGAGUCAGGGAGGAGAUG
rnacentral:lncRNA from 1 species